rnacentral:rRNA from 1 species
AUUGAACGCUGGCGGCAUGCUUUACACAUGCAAGUCGAGCGGCAGCGCGGGGGCAACCCUGGCGGCGAGCGGCGAACGGGUGAGUAAUGCAUCGGAACGUAUCCUCGAGUGGGGGAUAACCCAGCGAAAGUUGGGCUAAUACCGCAUGAGCUCUGAGGAGGAAAGCGGGGGACCUGCGAGGGCCUCGCGCUGGAGGAGCGGCCGAUGUCCGAUUAGCUAGUUGGUGGGGUAAAGGCUUACCAAGGCGACGAUCGGUAGCUGGUCUGAGAGGAUGAUCAGCCACACUGGGACUGAGACACGGCCCAGCCUCCUACGGGAGGCAGCAGUGGGGAAUUUUGGACAAUGGGGGCAACCCUGAUCCAGCCAUGCCGCGUGAGUGAAGAAGGCCUUCGGGUUGUAAAGCUCUUUCGGACGGAACGAAAUGGGCGGGACUAAUACUCCUGUCUGAUGACGGUACCGUAAGAAGAAGCACCGGCUAACUACGUG